GGUGCAUUAUGCAUUACAAACGAUUUUCAGCAAUCGUGUGUAAGCCACGACUGUACAUUGCACAGUAGUGGCAGUUUUAUUUUCAAAUAAAACUUAUUGUGUUCUGUUUUAUUAUUAAUUUGUAAUGGAAUCAAAGGCCGUACUGUUAUUUACUGUGAUGGGAUGUCUGAGUUGGUGCUCUAGAGGGCAAUCUAGCGAAGAAGGGCAAUCACUGCAGAGAAUUCCGGUGGAUGGCAUAACACCUACAUCCGAUACGGAAACAAGUACCAACCAGUCAUGGAGAAGCUGGAGACCUUGGAAAUUCUGGCAAUGGGGUGGGUCCGCGUUAAGAGACGGCCUAACACACUCUUAUGAUCUAAUACAGAGUGCGUCUAGAAGACCCUUCUUUUAUAAUCAUCACCUUAGUCACAGACCUAAGCUGAAGAGAAAAAUUAAAUUUCUUUUAAAAAUACAAAACUUCGAAAGAUA